ACACACACACACACAAACACACACACAUACGCGCGCGCUGCUGCUGCAUCGUAUUAUUGGCUCAUCUGCACAGGAUGCGAAUCCAGUGAAUUAAACCAGCGCAUUUGCAUUAAUCCAGAUCGAUAAUAACAUUAUUCACGCUGCGAAGUCAAGUUCCACAUCACGGCGUCAUCACUGCAACUAAACCCCGAUAAUAAUAGAGGCAAAAUAAGGUGCUUAUCGUUAGAAUAUUUCUACAUGUUCGACCUGGCCGAUGAUAUUUCAUCUCAGGUCUUUAUUUUACUUUUUUGAGGAAGGGGUAUGUUUAGAAUCGGAGUGUAACAUGUUGCUGUGAAUACACGAGGAUAUUCAAAUAAUAUCAAAUGACAACUGUAUUCAUAUUGUAAUAAUAUGAAAACAUCCGCUUUAAGGAGCUGCUGUUUAUCACAAUGUGUUCUGUGAGAUGCUCAGGUGUGUGUGUGUGUGUGUGUGUGUGUGUGUGUGUCAGGCCACGCGCUGUUAAUGCAGAUAAACCGGAGGCCUGCAGGUCACGUGCUCACAUCGAGCCCUUUAAAAAUAAAUAGGAAAAAAAUCAUCCAUCCAAUGAUAAGAAUUCUACUUUAAUUGUUGCAUAAUUGUUCAGACGCGUUUUUAACCUCAUAAUCAUCAAUAUUCAUGUUCCGCAGGUUAACGUGAGCCUCGAUGUUAGAGCCAAUGUGGCUAUUAUUGCUAUUAUUGGUGUUAGUAUUAUUACUAUUAUUAUUAAUUUAUUUCAAUUCCAAUCAUGUUAAAUUGAUUGAAUUAUUGAUUAUUCACAAUGCAAUCUGUGUAACGCCAGGUCACGUGGUAAUAAUUUAUUUUAUCGAUUGGUUUGGGAUGAGAGGGGAAAUAUAAAAGGCAGUUGACAACAAGAAAAAAGGAAGUGAGGAUCAGAAGAGUGUCAGAGGCACACAUUGGCAUUAUACCAUCUUGUAAAAGUAUUUAUUUCAAAUUAGAUUAGUGUUUAAAUGAUAAGAGAAUUGAAACAAAAAUGCAUUAAUACGUUUUUUUUGUUUGUUUUUACAAUCAAUAUUACAUUUGCAUUGUAUUCAUAUAAUUGAUUCACUAUGGUCUCUGAACAAAACAUAUCCGACAGGUUAAAGUAAAAUAUAAACAAAUAUAUGUAUAUGUAUGAAUAGUAUUUACAAAUACGUGGUAGUACAGGUUACGUGUUUUUAUUCUUAUUAAAUAAUAUAAUAUUUUAUAGAAAUAAAAAUAAACAUUUUAGUGCUGAGUCACUUUCAUCACUGUCUUCUAAAUCACGAUAGAAAGUACAAUCACAAUAAUAUGAAAUGUGAAUAACGACCUCGUUACACAGGUUAUUAGAUUUCAGAGUUAAAAUAAAUGUUACAUGCUUAUUUUCGUAGUU
ensembl:lncRNA